rnacentral:rRNA from 1 species
GAUGAACGCUGGCGGCGUGCCUAAUACAUGCAAGUCGAGCGAACAGACGAGGUGCUUUCUUCUUCGACGUUAGCGGCUGACGGGUGAGUAACACGUAGGUAACCUACCUAUAAGACUGGGAUAACUUCGGGAAACCGGAGCUAAUACCGGAUAAUAUUUCGAACCGCGUGGCUCGAUAGUGAAAGAUGGCUUUGCUAUCACUUAUAGAUGGACCUGCGCCGUAUUAGCUAGUUGGUAAGGUAACGGCUUACCAAGGCAACGAUACGUAGCCGACCUGAGAGGGGGAUCGGCCACACUGGAACUGAGACACGGUCCAGACUCCUACGGGAGGCAGCAGUAGGGAAUCUUCCGCAAUGGGCGAAAGCCUGACGGAGCAACGCCGCGUGAGUGAUGAAGGUCUUCGGAUCGUAAAACUCUGUUAUUAGGGAAGAACAAACGUGUAAGUAACUGUGCACGUCUUGACGGUACCUAAGCAGAAAGCCACGGCUAACUACGU